rnacentral:rRNA from 1 species
GACGAACGCUGGCGGCAUGCCUAACACAUGCAAGUCGGACGGGAAGUGCUGUUUCCAGUGGCGGACGGGUGAGUAACGCGUAAGAACUUGCCUUUGGGUGGGGAACAACAGCUGGAAACGGCUGUUAUUACCCCGUAGGCUGUGGAGCAAAAGGAGGAAUCCGCCCGAGUAGGGGCUCGCGUCUGUUUAGCUAGUUGGUGAGGCAAUAGCUUACAAACGCGAUGAGCAGUAGCUGGUCCGAGAGGAUGAUCAGCCACGCUGGGAGAGAGACACGGCCCACACUCCUCCGGGAGGCGGCGGUGGGGAGUAUACCGCAAUGGGCGAGAGCGUGUCGUACCGAUGCGGCGUGGAGGUAAAAAGGCUACGAGGCUUGUACAGCUUUUCCCGGAGAAGAGGCAAUGACAGUAUCUGGAGAAUAAGCAUCGGCUAACUCUGUG